UACAGAGGUGGCAAGCGUUGUUCGGAAUUACUGGGCGUAAAGGGCGCGUAGGCGGCUCGACAAGUCCCGCGUGAAAGCCCCCGGCUCAACUGGGGAACUGCGCGGGAAACUGUCGGACUUGAGUUCGGGAGAGGGAAGCGGAAUUCCGGGUGUAGCGGUGAAAUGCGUAGAUAUCCGGAGGAACACCGGUGGCGAAGGCGGCUUCCUGGACCGACACUGACGCUGAGGUGCGAAAGCGUGGGGAGCAAACAGG
rnacentral:rRNA from 1 species